AAAUAUAUUUAUGAAAUUUGGCCUGCCCACUGAAGUUUUUAAAGGGCCGCAGUAUUUUGACUGUGCAAAGGUAGCAUAAUCAUUAGUCUUUUAAUUGAAGGCUGGUAUGAAUGGUUGGAUGAGGUGAAUUCUGUUUUAUGUUAAUUUUAAUUGAAUUUAGAUUUUAAGUAAAAAGACUUAAAUAUGAUUAAGGGACGAGAAGACCCUAUAGAGUUUAAUAAAUGAACCAAAUAAUUGAGUUAAUUAAGAAUUUUUGAUUAUUGUUAAAUUUAUUUAAUUGGGGUGAUUAAAAGAUAAGUUGAACUCUUUUUUAAGUUUAAUAAUAUAAUUAGUUAUAUGAUCCAUAAUUAAUGAUUAGAAGAUUAAAUUACCUUAGGGAUAACAGCAUAAUUUUUUUUGAGAGUUCAUAUCGAAAGAAAAGAUUGUGACCUCGAUGUUGGAUUAAGAUAAGUUUUAGGUGUAGGUGUUUAUAAACUAG
rnacentral:rRNA from 1 species